rnacentral:miRNA from 1 species
UGACGGCAUCGGCAGCCUAAU